rnacentral:tRNA from 1 species
GCCAAGAUAGCUCAGAUGGCAGAGCGGCGCACUCGUAAUGCGCAGGUCAGGAGUUCGAUUCUCCUUCUUGGCU